CCUUCCCUGGGGAUGCUGUUGACUGGACCCACUUCAGAACUGUGUGGGGUGUCUCUGCCUGGCCUUAUGCUCCUCGCAGCAGAGAGGUGAAAAGGGACAGGCCCUUGGGACAUUUUCUGGCUGUGGACAGGAGCUGCCACAGCUGAAGCUGGAGAGGCCUGAGAAAGGGAAAGAAGAAAAUCAAGGGCAUGUGGGCAGCAGCUGCUUUCCACUGCAGGAAGAGAGAGCCUGUCUCUCUGGGUGGAGGACAGCCGAGCGACUGCAGCUCCAGAA